UUUUUUUUUUUUCAAAAUAGUAUUUGAGAAAGCUGAAGUGAGUAAUUUAGUCUGGAGUUUAUAAUUGCUUAACUCGUUGCCCCAGAAGUUCCCAAGGCUUGUUUAAAUGGGGCUUUGAGACACUGACCUAUUGAAAGAUGUCCCUGCCCAGUGCAGUGGUCAUGAAUGAGAUGAUCUUUAAAUGUUCCUUGUGAUCCAAACCAUUCUGUGAUGCCCUUCCCUGUUGUCUGAGUAGUCUCUCACUAUUCACAUUUAAUAAGGCUUCUGACAUGUCUAAAUUGUGUGCUACUAUGUGCUUGGAGCCCCCAGAUCUCUAACACCAGUAUAGAGCUUCCCAGCAUCUUAUGGACUGAGCAGAAUAAUGAAAAUUCUUGUCAGCAAAAAUGAAACAAAAUUAAAAAAGCAAAGGCCAUCUAAUUCAAAUUGCUACUGACUUCCCAGUGAUGGAUUUUUCUACAAGCCACAGUUUCAUCUUGUACAAGUUUAAAAAUCUGUUUUAUUUUUGUGUUUAACUAGAUUUCUUCUGAUUAGAAAUUGCAACACUUAGGUUCAAAUGCAUCGUGGAAGACAUUAAUCAACACCUGGGCACCAGGGGCUGCUGGUGCUGGGGGACCCUGCCCAGGACAGGCUGUCCUGAGCUGUCUCCUCGCUGCAGGGCUGUGCCAGGACAGGCCCUGCUCGCUGUGGUGCCAGCAGCAGCUCUGGGGGUGCAGGGCUGUGGGAGGAAAGUCGGUGUCAGCAGCGUUUUCAUCGUGUGGAUGGAACCCCAAGGCCCUGUCCCCAGUGGCUGCCUGCACAGACAAUGUCCCAAUUGUCCCUCGCCGCUGGCUCUCUCCUAGAAACUCACUGUGGCUGUGCUCAUUAAAAACAAAGCCUGCUUCCAGUGCCCAGCUCCAGCAGCCACACUGAAGCAGCCUCUGUGGGCACCUGGGUUGCUUUAAGCUCAGACAAAAGGGGUCCUGGGCUCGGCUUUCCUAGGUCUGAAGGUUUGGUACCACACCACGACCUGCCUGCACAAGCCCCCAGUGCUGCCAGGCUGCCCACGCUGUGCCAGGCUCUGGCCAGCCUGUUUGCUGGGGGACAGCCUCAGAUGUGUUAUCUGUGUGAUGACAGACUGCAGGACCACUGCUGCUGUCUUGUUUGAAUUGCAGAGAUCUCAAAGAGCCCCAGUCCUGUGCCCUAAUCCACUGUAUCUGGGAUGUACAAAUACAGAAAAACCCGGGUGGGUCUUGUUCUUCCUCAGCUCCCUAGGAGCACUGUUAGUUAAGUAGGUCAGUGCUCCAAACACACAGAUGUACAACACAUGUCAGACAGGAGAGAUGCAAACUGGAAUACUAAGCCAUCAAGUGGCUGUUAAAAACUUCAUAAGGGCAAUUAAAAGAUUACCUUUCAUAAUGUAUCCUUUCAUACAGGCAAUGGAAACAAAAGUGGCAAUUAGUUUCAGUUACAGCUUUGGAGUUCUGGACAAGUAUCUUCAGAUGCAAUUUCUUUUUGGUCACCUGAUCUGUGCAUCCAUGACUGCAGGGAUAUCUGUCUCUACCCUGCAGGUGAACACCUGAGCUGUGUGUGAUGGGACAUGUGCAUGCUCCUGUCUGGCAGCCUUUGCCCAGGGAGCAGCUGAUGUCCCUUACCCACCUUUUGCUGUUGACUUGUGACACACAGAUGCAGCAAACAAUGAACCAGACAACUUUACUGCAAGGGAAUUGUUGCCACCCACUGUAAACCUCCCUCUACAGUUAUACGUUGUGCUGAUGAUUAAUAAAAAUAACUACAUAUGGCU
rnacentral:lncRNA from 1 species